rnacentral:rRNA from 1 species
GAUGAACGCUAGCUACAGGCUUAACACAUGCAAGUCGAGGGGCAGCAUGGUCUUAGCUUGCUAAGGCCGAUGGCGACCGGCGCACGGGUGAGUAACACGUAUCCAACCUGCCGUCUACUCUUGGACAGCCUUCUGAAAGGAAGAUUAAUACAAGAUGGCAUCAUGAGUCCGCAUGUUCACAUGAUUAAAGGUAUUCCGGUAGACGAUGGGGAUGCGUUCCAUUAGAUAGUAGGCGGGGUAACGGCCCACCUAGUCUUCGAUGGAUAGGGGUUCUGAGAGGAAGGUCCCCCACAUUGGAACUGAGACACGGUCCAAACUCCUACGGGAGGCAGCAGUGAGGAAUAUUGGUCAAUGGGCGAGAGCCUGAACCAGCCAAGUAGCGUGAAGGAUGACUGCCCUAUGGGUUGUAAACUUCUUUUAUAAAGGAAUAAAGUCGGGUAUGGAUACCCGUUUGCAUGUACUUUAUGAAUAAGGAUCGGCUAACUCCGUGCCAGCAGCCGCGGUAAUACGGAGGAUCCGAGCGUUAUCCGGAUUUAUUGGGUUUAAAGGGAGCGUAGAUGGAUAUUUAAGUCAGUUGUGAAAGUUUGCGGCUCAACCGUAAAAUUGCAGUUGAUACUGGAUAUCUUGAGUGCAGUUGAGGCAGGCGGAAUUCGUGGUGUAGCGGUGAAAUGCUUAGAUAUCACGAAGAACUCCGAUUGCGAAGGCAGCCUGCUAAGCUGCAACUGACAUUGAGGCUCGAAAGUGUGGGUAUC